rnacentral:rRNA from 1 species
GACGAACCGUGCGAACGUUGUUCGGAUUCACUGGGCUUAAAGGGCGCGUAGGCGGACUCGCCAGUCUGUGGUGAAAGCCCCCAGCUCAACUGGGGAAGGGCCGUGGAUACUGCGAGUCUGGAGGAGGGUAGGGGCAUCUGGAACGCUGGGUGGAGCGGUGAAAUGCGUUGAUAUCCAGCGGAACUCCGGUGGCGAAGGCGAGGUGCUGGACCCUUUCUGACGCUGAGGCGCGAAAGCCAGGGGAGCGAACGGG